rnacentral:lncRNA from 1 species
UUAGAUUUAAAUCAGCUGAGAUAAUCUUAAGACAAGCCCCUAAUCUGGUUGACUCAAUCUUCUUAAGCUAUAUCGGCUAAAGUCCGGUUUUCAGCCAACCUAGCGCCUUAGGGAGGGUUUAUCUUUGGCAAGUUGAGCAGGAUGCUGAGAAAUUUCUUUAUGGAAGUUGAAGAACAAAUUCCCUGCUACAACUUUGCUAGUUGGACCUUAAUGUUUUUCGUCUCCGAAGGUU